GACGAACGCUGGCGGCGUGCUUAACACAUGCAAGUCGAGCGGUAAGGCCCUUUCGGGGGUACGACGAGCGGCGAACGGGUGAGUAACACGUGGGUGACCUGCCCUCAGCUCUGGGAUAAGCCUGGGAAACUGGGUCUAAUACCGGAUAUGACUCCAUGACGCAUGUUGUGGGGUGGAAAGCCUUGUGCGGCUGAGGAUGGGCCCGCGGCCUAUCAGCUUGUUGGUGGGGUGAUGGCCUACCAAGGCGACGACGGGUAGCCGGCCUGAGAGGGCGACCGGCCACACUGGGACUGAGACACGGCCCAGACUCCUACGGGAGGGCAGCAGUGGGGAAUCUUGCGCAAUGGGCGAAAGCCUGACGCAGCGACGCCGCGUGAGGGAU
rnacentral:rRNA from 1 species